GUGCAUAGUGGAAGCUGUCAUCCACGGGCGGUAGCGUG
rfam:Aeromonas diversa 2478-85 Contig 36, whole genome shotgun sequence.